CUUGAAUGCACCACCAUGCCUGAGUGUACCAAAGAGUGCCUGUGGGACUUCUGAGAUGCAGAAAUGAAGGCUGCAUCUACCACCCGAGUGAGAAGCUGUGACCGCCUGGUGGAUAAUCAGCAGCACCACGCACAUAACAUCUGGUGGAAAGGAUCCCCUGCCCCACCCCUGUCCCUGUCCCCAGCUCCCUUGAGGACCCGUGUCUUCCUACAUUCUUGUGUCUCCUGAGUCUUGCCAGUGUCUGUCUAUGGGAACCAAGGCCUAAGGCACCAUGUGACCCAAAAUCAUCCCAGCAACCUCCUGCUGCUCCUGAUCUGAAGUGACAAGCCGCUUUCACCUCCUUCCGCUCGGAGAAGGGAGCUGAGGUCCAGGCUGUUCUUUCCAUCACCCCCUCCACCCUGAGGGUGACAGGGUAACUUCAAAUCUAACCCGAGCUGUCGGGAUGGACAGUCCACGAAACCUGGGGCUUUCCAAAGGUGGCACAGGCCAGAGGGAGACAUGAGAUCGGAAGAGUGACAAGAAAUGACCGCUCCGCCUGUCACUGAGCAGAAGGACCUGACCAUAAGGAACAAUGACUGGACAAGCGCCAAGGUAUUGAGGGGGAGAACUAAGUCCCCAGAGAGAAAGCACAGCUCCCCAACAGGGUCUCCUGGUCGCGGGAUGCCGAGUAAAUGUAGCUGGUCCACGAGCCUCCCAGGAUUCUCCUGCCCCUGUCUCCCACUGCGUUAUCGGAGCACUGGGAUUCCAGACGUGCGCUUCCACACCUGAUUUCCACGGGUGUAUGAGCUCAGGUUCUCACGCUUGCCUAGCCAGCACUGACCUGCUUGGCCAUAUUUCCAGUGCAGCCCUGCUUCUCUCUCUCUCCUCAUGCUCUCUCCAUUCUCUUUUUUGUCUGUCUCCUCCUCACUUCGGCCUGUUUUUCAGCUUCUCUUUCCACAAUCCCUUCAAAGACAAGAAAGCUGUUUGUCUCCUCUCUCUCCUUACAUGUCUCUGCUUCACUCACUUGCUGCAGGGCCCCUGCCUUCCCGGAUGGAGGCCCGCAGGGACCUCACAAGCACAUGGGGGCAGAGGCCUGGUCUGGGACAGGAGCAUGAAGAAGGCAAAGACAAGUGGAAUCCGGUAUUGAUUGGGUUCUGUGACUCACAGCCUCAGGGGAGGGACCUGGGAGAGUGACGUCAUUGCUGGAAUUGGCACUGGCGCCCAACUUCCCUGAGACCUCUUCUUGCCUUUGUGACUUCUCUAUACCUCUCCACUGCAGGGAAGGGCUGGGGAAGCAAGGUUCACCUUCGGUGACGUUCAGAACUACCACACAGUUUUCUUGGGUGGAGGCCUUCCCACAUCCUCACCUCCACCUCCUCUGGUGGGUAUACUAAUGUGCACGUGGGCACUCGCAGUCUCACAUGUAUGCACACUUCUGAUAUGUGUGCACAGCUCAUGUGUAUGCCAGCACACACACACACACACACACACACACACACACACACACACACACAGAAGUCACAUGUACGCCCACCUGCCAUCUGCUUCUGACAGUCGGGGGAACCAUGUAAAUGAGGCUUCUGAACAAUUCGAGGGGACUGUGCUGGAGGUGAGGGGCAAUCUGAGGAAGGACCCCAUAUGCUCCUGUCUGCUGGCAUCUUGAUGACGUGUGCCUCCUGAUUUAGGAGCCGCUCCUAGGAGCCCAACAUCAGGGAGAGCAUGUAAGUCCUUGAGAAAAUGUGCUUCCAAUUUCAUAACUGAAGGGAAACUGGUUAAGACUUGGGAAUGUAGAGAGAAAGAGGGUCUGAGCAGGGCCAGAGGCUUCAGGAAAGAUAAUGCCUGCCUUUCGCUCUGUACUUAGGGAAGAGAGUUUUGUGUGCUUGUUUUCUCCUCCUUUCUUAACUAAGUCCCAGGAAUCCAGCUUGAGUUAGAACAGAGGAAGGAAGGGUUCCCAAACAUGUGUGUGAAUAUUAAUGUUAUGGAAAUCACAUGCAAAUUAAUCAGACACAAAAAUAAAUAGCUGAUUAAGUCUUUAAAAUGAACAAUUAGCAUGAGAUGAAAGCCAUUGGAGGAGCCACGCCUGGUACCCGGGUGACUUCUAGAGGCUGGGCCUUGGAUGCAGAGUCCUCUGGAAACCCCGCCCACUAUGGCUGGUGGGGAUGCUUCUGGUUAUAAGCAACUUGCUGAUGGACCUAUCAAAGGUCCACCUAGCAUUUCCAGGAAGCUGAUAGAGCUUAGGCGUCACAGCACUCCUCAGAUCUUUUCCAAAGCCUGCACUUAAUUUUGUGGGGUUAUUAUUACUAUUACUAUUACUAUUACUAAAAUGAUUUUACUUGUAUGGGUGUCUUGCCUGCACAUGUAUCUGUACACAUGUGCAGAGGCCAUAAAAAGUGUUCGGAUCUCUGGAACUGGAUUAUAGGUGAUUGUGAGCCACUCUGUGGGUACUAGGAACCAAACCUGGGUCCUCUGUGUUAGGUCCCAACCCUUAAAAUGACAAUCUGGGCUCAGCUCACACUAGAUUCUGACUCUGGCAAACAGGAAUAUUGCUGGAGAAUAACACUCAGCAUUCUUCAGAAACCUGUGAUGUAGGUUUCUGUCUGUCAGGAAGAGUCAUCACUUCCCUCAUCUGCUCUUAACACUGGGAAAUGGGGCAUCUAGUCCACUGUUAGCACAUACCUAUAACACACAUCAAAGCGUGCUCAUGUGCUCUCUCUCUCUCUCUCUCUCUCUCUCUCUCUCUCUCUCUCUCACACACACACACACACACACACACACACACACACACACACACACACACGCCCCUCUUCUGGCCCUAAAACCUCCCCUCUAACUUCUAGGCUGUUCCGAUCUCCAGGCUCCCUGCCUUCUCAGUCUGUUUCUUUAAAACUGACAAGACUUGGCCCGGAGAGAUGGCUCAGCGGUUAAGAGCACUGCUGUUCUUUCAGAGGUCCUGAGGUCAAUUUCCAGAAACCACACGGUGGCUCACAACCAUCUGUAACUACAGUCCCAUGAGAUCCAAUGCCGUCUUCUGGUGUGCAGAUGUACAUGCAAACAAAACACCCAUAUACCAGCUAGGCAUUGUGGCACACGCUUUUAAUACCAACACUUGGGAAGCAAAGGAAGUUCGAGGCCAGCCUGGUCUACAAAGUGAGUUCCAGGAUGGACAGGGCUACACAGAGAAACCCUGUUUCAACAAACAAACAUAACAACCCCCCCCCAAAAAAAACCACCCAUAUACAUAAAAUACAUAAAUAAGUAAAUCUUAAAAAAGAAUAGAAACUGGUCAGACUUUCCCUACCUUCUGUUAUCCCCUCUCCCCCCCUACAAGAGCUCACCAUGCAGUUUCAUAUUUCCAAUGAACCUUCUUUCUACCCUGGAGUGGUCUGGUUUGGGGGUGUCACUGCGCUCAGGGGUGAAAAGGCUGAAGGAGCAGCUUUCAGGUAAGAGUUCUGAACACUGGUCAGGCCAGCUCUCCAGCUGCUUCUGUUGUUUCCUUGUUGGUUUUUUGUUUUCCAAGACAGGGUUUCUCAGUGUAGCCCUGGCUGUCCUGGAACUCGCUCUGUAGACCAGGCUGGCCUUGACCUCAUUGAGAUCCGCCUGCCUCUGCCUCCCGAGUGCUGGGAUUAAAGGUGUUCGCCACCACCUCGCAGCUUGUUUUGUUGUUUUUAAGGUCUUGCUGCGGAGCCCUGGACGGCCUUUAACUGACACAGUAACCCUCUGGAUUCUGUUGACCUUGUGGGUGUGCACCAUCAGGCCCAGAUGUGCAUUCCUUUGAAAUCUUCUCUCUACCAAAGGUGGGCCUUUGCUCUGGAAUGAAAACAAACCCCAAGGCCUCCAGGACUCAAAUUUAUCUAGUGAAGAAGGAACAAGGUUGCUACUGCAUUGGCCAAGGAAAUAACCCCCUUGCCCAAACUCUGAGAAUUGGAGAAACAAAUACUGGGUGAAUAAUAGGAGGAGCCAGCCAGAUAGGUCAGCGCUCUUACCAAGCCUGAUGAUCUGAGUUCAAUCCCCAGGAUCCACAUAGUGGAGGGGAGAACUGACUGCCAAGUGAACCCACACACAUACGUCUGCACACAGAUGCAAUCAAUCAAUCAUGUAAUUAAAAUAUUUUGAAAGAGGGCUGGAGAGAUGGCUCAGUGGUUAAGAGCACCUACUGCUCUUCCAGAGGUCCUGAGUUCAAUUCCCAGCAACCACAUGGUGGCUCACAACCAUCUGUAAUGAGAUCUGGUGCCCUCUUCUGGCCUGCAGGCAUACAUGCAGGCAGAAUACUUUAUACAUAAUAAAUAAAAUAAAUCUUAAAAAAAAUAUUUUAAAAGAAAUGGCAGGGCUGAAGUGUAGAUCCCCUCUGCAAAACCUUGGGGCCAAGCCUGACCGGGAGGCGUAAGGGUCCUGUUGGGCACAGCCCUAGGAAAGUGAAAACAAAGCAAAGCUUUGAAAGUUAGGAACCCGAGUAUGGAGGCUAGAGAGGUAAGACUCACAGUGCCGAGAGUGCGAGCACUAUCUGUUGUAUGUCUCAGGGUCUGUUUCCACUCGACAACGAGCAAUCAGGAGGUACUGCCACUGCCCUCCUUUUAGAAACGGAGAAACCGAACAGAGGGCAAGUCAUUUGUCCCAACCAAACUGGAGAACAGCAGCGCAGGGUCUGGCGUCUGACGGGGCAGACUGUCCGUCUGUACAUUACCCAAAUAACUUGUGCAGUCAGGGGCCAGAAUUCAAAUCCAGCUCUGUCUGAUGGCCCCAUCCUGCCAUGUACCCAAACCAGGAAGUGCAGGGGCCAGAACCGAGGGACAGGGAGAUGAUGGAAAGUAUAUGUGACUGGUUCUGAGAAGCAGGGUCUAUCCGGACACGGAAAGGGCCCUUUGAGGAAAAAAGUUGUACCUCCUGGCUUGCUGGCUGAGGACAGGAAAUAAGCUAGCAAUCAGCAACCUGCCUAAAGGAGCUUGGGGAGAGCUGUGAGAGAAAAUGGGGUUUCAUUUGCCUCCUAAGCCCUCGUGAACCAGUUUGAUACCAAGGGAGAUAGCACAGGUCUACAGUCUCAGCAUCUGGGAAGCGGGAACAAGAGGAUCAGAAGUUCAAAGUCAUGCUCAGCUACAUAGUGUACUUGAGGCUAGCCUGGGCUACAUUCCAUUCUUGGAAUUUUCAGGCAAUUUAAAUUAAAGUUAGAGUCAGAUAGCCAGAGGGUAUGGUGGCAGCAGGCUUUUCAUCCCAACAGAGGCAGGUAGAUCGCUGUUAGCUUGAGACUAGUCUAGUCUACAUGGGGGAGGGAGUAUCCAGACUAGCUAAGGCUACACAAUUGAGAUCUUAUCUCAGAAAAAGAAAAAAGAGUCAGAGGUGUGUAUAGAGAUAUUGGGGGGGGGGGGGGUGAGAUGGGAAGAGAAUCAGAGUGGUAGAUCAGUCGCCUAGCAGACAUCAAGUCCUGGGUUUGGUUCCCAGGAUCCCCUGCUCUUCAAUGAAGUGAAGAGGGAUGUGGUCCCUAACAAACAAAGAGGCGACGCUGUAUGCAGAGAUGCUGCAAGAGCGAGAAACGGAGGACAGGGCGUCUCCAACAGAUGAUGCCCAGUCCUCCCGAGCCCAGUGGAAGAAAGUAGAGAGUGAGAAGUGUUGAGAUCGGGUGGUCGGGGGGUAAACAGUGAGGCUUGUAGCAUGUGCAGCUCCUGAAAGCUGCCAGAAUCAAUAACAGUGAAGCUGGUUCCCAACAGGGUGUGUGUGUGUGUGUGUGUGUGUGUGUGUGUGUGUGUGUGUGUGUGUGUCCAGAAGUGUCAGCCCUGGCCUCUGGGGCCACAUCACAGGAGUGAGCUAUGGUGAGCAUCAGGGAAGUGUGAUUUAGAGUCCCAUUCCCACUGCCCUUCAGUGUGCUGCAAGGACAGUUCAAUGUGAUGUGUAAUUACCACCGCCCCACAAGGCUGCACUGUACACAGAGCCCCCGCUCCCCCCUCCCUGCCGCCUGCUUUGCGACUGUAAAUCAGUUUUCAAUCCUGAGUGCUACCUGUAAUGUUCAGGCUCAAGAUCCGAAGCUCAUAUUCCUGUGUCCCUGGAGGGUAGUUCAGGCCCCGAGUAGCCCCUCCCCUAAUUCUAAUUCUGCCCUGUUCUUGUUCCCUGAUGCAGGAUGGGAUAGGCAUGGGGAAACUGGACUUGGCUGUAGGUGGCCCUGGGACCGUACUUCAGGUUCUGUCAGUCUCAGUCUACCCAGCAUGUGGCACUGUGGCCGUACUCCAGACCAGUAGGGCAGAAAGGCAUUGAACAUGACCCCUCCCCCAAAUGGCAACCUCUUCUCAGCCCUGCCAGAAGGGUGACAGCUUCCUGGGGAAUCUCCAAAACACAGUGCCCUUUCCAUGGGUUUAUUUAGAAAUGAGAAGUACCAGCCCUGGGCCUCCUCUGAUCUGGAGUGGAGAAGGACAUGGUGGACCUUGGAGGUAAGAAAAGGGCAAAUUUAGAUGGAGAUUCUUUCUGUUUUGUCUUGUUUUAAUUAGGUUUAUUUAUUUUAUUUUAUGUGUAUGAGUGGUUUGCCUGUAUGUGUAUGUAUUUAUUUGUACUAUAUAUGUUUCCGGUGCCCUCGAAGAUCAGAAGAAGAAUCAGAUUCCCUAGAACUGGAGUGACAGAUGGUUGUGAGCUGCCAUGUAGGUGCUGGGAAUCAAACCCAGGUCCUCUGCAAGAUCAACCAGUGCUCUUAACCACUGAGCCAUGUCUCCAGCCCCCUAGUUUUGUUUUUAAAUAGGGUCUCAUGUAGCCCAGGCUGGCCUCAAACUCUGUACUUCCUGACUACUAGGAAUACAGGCAUUCGUCACAGCCCAGUGUAUUUAGUACUGGGGAUCAAAUCUGGAGCUUUGUGCACACUAGGCAAGCGCUCUACCCACUGAGCCACACGACCCACCUUAAGACAAGGAUUCUAUAUAGUCUGGCUUUGAACUCAUAGAAAUCCACCUACCUCUGCCCCCGGAGUUAAGGGCAUGCACUACCACACCCAGCAAACAAGGAUUCUUUUAUUUUAUUUAUAUAUCUAUUUUAUGUGUAUGGGUGUUUGAUCUGCAUGUAUAUCUGCAUGCACCACAUGGAUCCCCUGGGAAUGGACUUACAGACAUACAUUUUUAAGCCAUCGUGUGGGUGCUGGGAAUCAAACCAGGGUCCUCUGAAAGAGCAAAUAGUGCUCUUAACCACUGAGCCAUCUCUUCAGCCUCAAGACAAGGAUUUGAGUCAUACCUAACAGGUAUCUGGAGCACAUCAUUUUUUAGGGAUUAGAUGUUUUCUUCUCCUCUUCCUGUCUCCUGUUCACUGGGAUGACUACAGCUGCCUCCUCGGUGACCUCCCUGGACCCACCUGGACCCUCUGAAGAGUCCUGCUGAAUGGGAGCCAGGACAAGCCUUUCCCGCUCCCCGUUAAGCUUGGUUUCUCUGUGUAGUCCUGGCUGUCCUGGAACUCUCUCUGUAGACCAGGCUGGCCUCAAACUCACAGAGAUCCACCUGCCUCUGCCUCCUGAGUGCUGGGAUUAAAGGCUUGCGCAGCAGCAGCAGCAGCAGCAGCAGCAGCAGCAGGGAAAACUUCAUCCAUGGCCUCUCCUGGCUGUGUCUGGAGCUGCCUUCUUGGAGAAGGACAAUCACUGGCUGGUGUUGCCAGAAAGCCAAGGCCAGCCCAAAUGGCUACCUUGUGUGGACCAGGCACUCCAGGUGGGUACCGAGGGGGAAACUCCUCCGUGCAUUACAAUCUCCACGAAGAAAAGGAGGCACGUGAACUGAAAGCACCUUUUGAAUAAGCAGCAUGAGGGAGAGAGCUGCUCUAAUCCCUAAAUGGCUUUGCUGACAGCGAGAAGCUUCCUGGUUGGGGGGAGACGGGGUGGGAAGUGAGGACACAUUUGUCAGGAACCAGCUCAGCAGUGCCCUUGUCCCCGAGCUUUUUUAUUCAUGACACGCUUCUGGCUAAUGGAACUCCGAGAUCUCUGACCUUGUGCUCCAUAUUCCACUUUUGUCCUGCCCCCACCCCACCCCCGCACCCCCAGAGCCUGGGCAGCCUUGUCCCUGCCUGUGUUAGAUGCUGAGGCUGCUGGAGCUGUGGUCUUGGACCCUAUGGGGACUGUGGCAUCUGUGUGCCUGCCAUGGCACGGUGAUUUGGGUGACAUGAAAAUCCCCGUGUGACCCUGUGUAAAGGUGUGGGUCUGCAUGCUAGUGGGUUUUGUCCAUUUAGACACUCUGGGAACCAGUACCAUUGUGCUGUUUGGGUGCCUGUGACCACCCCAUGUUGCUGUCCAUUAGCACUCCCCUCCAAUGGUGGGGGGGGGGGCAGGAGGGCCUUGGAGUCGCAAGAGCCGCGUCUCCCAGAUACCUUUCCAGUUCUGUUCAGCUUUUAGAGGGCUAAGGGGGUGUAGACAAAGGAGGCCCAGGAGAUGUGGAAACACGUUAUCCAUCUCCCUGCUUCUUCAUGAACCUACAGUCCCUGCUUGGCACUCUCUCUCGCUCUCUGGAUGGAUACAUGUGUGCACACACACACACACACACAUACACACACGCACGAACACACACACACACACACACACACACACACACACACACACACACACACCCCUUAGGAGCUGUAAAGGUCAAGACUCCUAUUCUAAUCUCCCAGUCCCCUUCACCUUGGAGCUGAACCAAAGCCAGUUUCUACGCAGAGAUGUGGGAGGGCAUUCCUAGUACUGGCUAAUAGAAUUCUCAGGAGGCUGAGACUCACUGUGACUGACGCAGGCCUCGGGGCACCAGGAGCUGGAAAGCUGCCCCUUGGACAUGGAACUUGUCAAGGUUAAUUGGUCUCAAUAUUGCUUUUUCUUUUUCCUUUCUCUCUCUCUUCCUUCAUUAGUGCUGGGGAUAAAAACCAGGGCUGCUUCUUUAUUUUUUUGUAUAGUGUGUGCAGUGUAUGUGCAAAUGUGCCUGUAUAUGUAGGCAUACUCACUCAUGCAUGUGUGUGUUAUGGCCAGAGAGGGGUGUUAGGGGUCUUUCUCUAUUGCUUCUCACCUUUUUUAGUUUUGUUUUGUUUGAGAAAAGAUCUCACUAUGUAGCCCUGGCUGGUCUGGAACUCACUAUGUGCUGGGACUAAAGGCAUGCUCCACCAUAUCUUACUAUGUAUGUAUGUGUGUGUAUGUAUGUAUGUGUGUACAUAGGUAUGCAUGUGUGUAUGUAUGUGUAUAUGUAUGUAUGUGUGUAUGUAUGUAUGUAUGUAUGUAUGUAUGUAUCUAUCUAUCUAUCUAUCUAUCUGUUUUUGAGUCAAGUUUUCUCACUGAACCUGGAGAUACCUGUUUUGACCAGACUAGCUGGCCAGCUAACCCCAGAGAUCCAUCUGUAUCUCCCUCCCUAGUACUGGGGUUACAGACAUGUACCACUGUGCCCAGCUUUUAUGUGGGUGCUGGGAUCUGGACUCACGUCUUCAUGGUCACACAGCACUCACUUUACCACUGAGCAUCUCCCCAGCCCUGGCACCUCUUAUCUACUAAGCAAUUAUUGUCCUGAAGCGCUGCCGCCCCCAAACUGGACCUACAUGCUCUCCUGCUCUUUCCUAAUGGAUUUCGGCCAGGGAAAGGACAGUAGAGUUCACAAGCUUAGGCAAUGUCCAUACUGAAAGUUCUCAGGAGGGCAUAAAACAGAAACUCUUGACACUGGUCCAGGAUGAUUAGUGGUAACAUUCUCCCCAAGGCUUCAAGGUCCUUUGUGCAGAGGACAAGUUUCUACUCCCCACUGCAGAGACAGCCGCCAGUCCCCAAGCUGGAGAGCUUCAGCCCUUAGCACAGGCUGCUAGCCAGUCAAUGUUUAGUCAAUAUUAACUGUGAAUGUCAGCGUACUCCCUGGUGAAGCGCCUCCGAGGAUGCUCAUCUUCUGGAGCCCUGGAGGUCGGGUGUGUGUUAGGGUGGGGAUGUGAAAGCUAAUCGUCAUUGUUGACAUGACUGGAUUUGGAGUCACCUAGGAGACACACCUCCAGGCGUGUCUAUGUGUACAUUUCCAAAGAGGUUUAAGUGAGGGGAGCCCUAUGCUGAAUGUGGGUGUCACAUCUCCAUGUGCUGGGGUCCUGGACUGAAUAACAAAAGGAGGAAGUGAACUGAGUCCAGCCUUCAUCUUUCUCUGCUUCCUGAUUGUGGAUGCCGCGUGACCAGCAAUCCGUGUGACAGCCGUCAUGCCUUCCCACUCACAAUGAACCAUGGCUCCUUAAACGAGGAGCAGGGCACACAGUCUGGCCCAGGGACCAGGAGCCAACCCUACGUUGUCUCUGAGAAUCACAAUCCUGGAUGGCAGCCGAUGGUGUGAGGAAGGACAUGGAACCCUCCGCCCUGCCCCCUCUUCCUGUCAGUGAGCAUCAGUGGGAAGCUCUUCCUAAGCCAGCCAAAUGCCUUGUCUUUCCUUCCCCAUCUAUCCCCACCUUCCUCAGACCUUGCCUCUGCCAGCUUGAGGCAGUCAGUGGAACAGCACUCUGGCAGGCAGCUAGCCAGGUCCGUCCUGGGGAAGUGGGGGGGGGGGGGCGCUGCAUCUUAUAGGAUUCCUCUAGGAAGCCUAAGAAAGCUGCUCUGGGCCCUAGAAAGACAGCCACAGAACCACACCUCCUGGCCCCCGCUGCCUCCUCUCCCUGUACCCCCAUGGGUGCUUGCCUCACAGUGUGGUAGUUCAAGAGAGUACAGAAUGGGAAUUGGAGAGGAAGGUGGUACAUCUUCUCCCCACUGACCACCACAGGGACUGGAAGGUAGACACCGGCCCUCCUCCCACGGCAUUGAACUUCAUAAAACCAAUUAAGACUUCAGGGCCAGGGCACACGGGAGCAAGCAGGAGUCCGCAGCUCUGGGUGACAUUGGGAGUCCACUCCAAGGACAGAGCAGAGCCUCCCAUCAAGUUACCAAGGCAACCGCAGCCCUGCAAGAUUCACAGCGAUUCUGGGAGAGAGCAGAGACUGACAGGAGCCGCAGACAGCAUGCCAGGGUUGGGAUGGAAAUAGGGAUAACAUGAUGAGUCCCAGGAUUUAACAGUCCUAUAGAUAUGCUUACAUAAUGCCCAACACUGGAUGUUGGUGCACACCUGUAAUCCGAGCACUGAGGAGGGAGAAAGGACAGUGGAGAAGCCGAGGCUAGCCUCAGUUACAUAGCCCUGUUUUAAGACAUCAAUGAGCAGGACAGGCUGCUCCCCAAACUUCGGCGUAUUUCUCUCUAAAAAUACCAACACAGGCUGGAGAGAUGGCUCAGAGGAUAAGAGCACUGAUUACUCGUCCAGAGGUCCUGAGUUCAAUUCCCAGCAACCACAUGAUGGCUCACAACCAUCUGUAAUGAGAUCUGGUGCCCUCUUCUGGUCUGCAGGAAUACAUGCUGUAUAUAAUAAAUAAAUAAAUCUUUAAAAAUACCAACACUCCUCCAGGCCCAGUCACA